rnacentral:tRNA from 1 species
ACUGCUUUAGUAUAUUUAUUAUAUUAGCUUUUCGUGCUAGAGAAAGUGUUCUUACACUAAGCAGUG